CACACCCGACCCUCUAGGAACUAGUCUAAAAUAAGACCUCUAACUUCGACCUAGAAAAUCACGACA
rnacentral:tRNA from 1 species